rnacentral:rRNA from 1 species
CCCUUAGAUGUUCUGGGCCGCACGCGCGCUACACUGAUGCAUUCAACGAGUCUAAAACCUGCUCUGAUAGGGGUGGGUAAUCUUUUGAAUGUGCAUCGUGAUUGGGAUAGAUGAUUGCAAUUUUUCAUCUUCAACGAGGAAUGCCUAGUAAACGCAAGUCAUCAGCUUGCAUUGAUUACGUCCCUGCCCUUUGUACACACCGCCCGUCGCUCCUACCGAUUGAAUGAUCCGAUGAAUAUCAUGGAUUGAGGAUUAUAGCAGGUUCGCCUGUCUUGAUCUUCGAGAAGUGAAGUAAAUCUUAUCAUUUAGAGGGAGGAGAAGUCGUAACA